GAUAGGACAUAGGAGGCGAGAGGGACGACGAGCCGUUGGUUUGUGGGUGUGCGUCCUAUGCUCAGGAGAGAUGACACCGACGUCGGACGGACCGGUCGAUCCGCGCCGUGUCUGUCCGUCCGAAGUGGGUGUCAUCUCGCCUGAAGCAUAGGACUUACCAGCCCAGUACAUCUCCCUGUUUUCA
rnacentral:pre_miRNA from 1 species